ensembl:lncRNA
GCGUGGCCUUUGUUUCUGUCAUCCCUACUCAAGGAGUCCCUGCUCAAGGAGGCGUGGCCUUUGUUUCUGUCAGCCCUACUCAAGGAGGCGUGGCCUUUGGAGGCGUGGCCUGUUUCUGUCAGCCCUACUCAAGGAGGCGUGGCCUUUGUUUCUGUCAGCCCUGCUCAAGGAGGCGUGGCCUUUGUUUCUGUCAGCCCUGCUCAAGGAGGCGUGGCCUUUGUUUCUGUCAGCCCUACUCAAGGAGACGUGGCCUUUGUAAUAGUCAGUCCUACUCACAGACAUGUGCCCUCUGCGUCUAUCGGUCACAGUGAAGGAGGCGUGGCCUUUUUGUCUGUCUGUCACACUGAAGGGGGUGUGACCAUGUACUGCUGUUGUAAAUGUAUUUUAAAGUCACUUAAUAUACAAUGUGAUAUUUAUUUUAAUAAAGAUUUGCAUGGUAUUGUCUCAGACUGACAGACCUGAUAGACCUUCCUGUUUCACACAUUCUGACACAAUCCGCAGGCCAUCAUCCAAAUCCAAGAGAGAAGGAAGGAGAUGCAUUUCCAUCUGUUCCCAUCUCAGUUUAAAUAGAUCAUCUCGGUGCACUACACUCAUGAAUAAGAAUGCAAAUCUUAUUCAUUCCUGUAAUCUGUAUCUUUAAUGGAGUUUAACUGAGAUAGCGGAGACUGCCACCUAGUGAUCCUGCAGCUCAUGGCACACUGCGGAAAUAUGAAAACAUAGGCACAAUAUGCACAGGCUCCAUCUGGACCUCAGGAUCAUUAAUUCCACUGCAGACUUGAGACGAUGUUUUGGUUCCAGGCAACACGUUUGAAUCGUCGUCUUCCUGUCUGUCACACAAUCUGCGACAGGCAAACCCACAGAGCUCAGGGCUUUUUAAAAGCUCAUCUGGUGGAGAUGUCUGGCACAGAAGGGGGCACGAAAACCCGAGAUUGAUGAAGCCGCGCGGCCGAGCUUCGUUCAGAAUGGAUGGCACCGUUCACAGAUCUCUCACCUGGAUAAUGACGCCUGUGGAAUCCAAUCUAAAAGGCAGAGUGUGUGCUGAAGUAAAUGCUCAGGAGAUGCUGAUGAACGAGCUGAGAGAUCAGACGAUGCAGCGCUUCACAACCGUACUUUUGUAGUUUUAGCAUCAAAUUAUAUCAGACUCCGCCAUUCCGUGUGUGUAAACACUGUUCCUCCGGGGCGGGAAUCGGUAGUGCCUCGGGAUUACACGUACCGAGAAACCAAAAAAGCGCAACCUCGUCCUGUCUUGAAGAUUUCACCCCUGACUGACACUGGAGACUCCUUCCAAAAAU